GGGUUGUGAGGUUAAGCGACUAAGCGUACACGGUGGAUGCCCUGGCAGUCAGAGGCGAUGAAGGACGUGCUAAUCUGCGAUAAGCGUCGGUAAGGUGAUAUGAACCGUUAUAACCGGCGAUUUCCGAAUGGGGAAACCCAGUGUGUUUCGACACACUAUCAUUAACUGAAUCCAUAGGUUAAUGAGGCGAACCGGGGGAACUGAAACAUCUAAGUACCCCGAGGAAAAGAAAUCAACCGAGAUUCCCCCAGUAGCGGCGAGCGAACGGGGAGCAGCCCAGAGCCUGAAUCAGUGUGUGUGUUAGUGGAAGCGUCUGGAAAGGCGCGCGAUACAGGGUGACAGCCCCGUACACAAAAAUGCACAUAUUGUGAGCUCGAUGAGUAGGGCGGGACACGUGGUAUCCUGUCUGAAUAUGGGGGGACCAUCCUCCAAGGCUAAAUACUCCUGACUGACCGAUAGUGAACCAGUACCGUGAGGGAAAGGCGAAAAGAACCCCGGCGAGGGGAGUGAAAAAGAACCUGAAACCGUGUACGUACAAGCAGUGGGAGCCUCUUUUAUGGGGUGACUGCGUACCUUUUGUAUAAUGGGUCAGCGACUUAUAUUCUGUAGCAAGGUUAACCGAAUAGGGGAGCCGAAGGGAAACCGAGUCUUAACUGGGCGUUAAGUUGCAGGGUAUAGACCCGAAACCCGGUGAUCUAGCCAUGGGCAGGUUGAAGGUUGGGUAACACUAACUGGAGGACCGAACCGACUAAUGUUGAAAAAUUAGCGGAUGACUUGUGGCUGGGGGUGAAAGGCCAAUCAAACCGGGAGAUAGCUGGUUCUCCCCGAAAGCUAUUUAGGUAGCGCCUCGUGAAUUCAUCUCCGGGGGUAGAGCACUGUUUCGGCAAGGGGGUCAUCCCGACUUACCAACCCGAUGCAAACUGCGAAUACCGGAGAAUGUUAUCACGGGAGACACACGGCGGGUGCUAACGUCCGUCGUGAAGAGGGAAACAACCCAGACCGCCAGCUAAGGUCCCAAAGUCAUGGUUAAGUGGGAAACGAUGUGGGAAGGCCCAGACAGCCAGGAUGUUGGCUUAGAAGCAGCCAUCAUUUAAAGAAAGCGUAAUAGCUCACUGGUCGAGUCGGCCUGCGCGGAAGAUGUAACGGGGCUAAACCAUGCACCGAAGCUGCGGCAGCGACGCUUAUGCGUUGUUGGGUAGGGGAGCGUUCUGUAAGCCUGUGAAGGUGUGCUGUGAGGCAUGCUGGAGGUAUCAGAAGUGCGAAUGCUGACAUAAGUAACGAUAAAGCGGGUGAAAAGCCCGCUCGCCGGAAGACCAAGGGUUCCUGUCCAACGUUAAUCGGGGCAGGGUGAGUCGACCCCUAAGGCGAGGCCGAAAGGCGUAGUCGAUGGGAAACAGGUUAAUAUUCCUGUACUUGGUGUUACUGCGAAGGGGGGACGGAGAAGGCUAUGUUGGCCGGGCGACGGUUGUCCCGGUUUAAGCGUGUAGGCUGGUUUUCCAGGUAAAUCCGGAAAAUCAAGGCUGAGGCGUGAUGACGAGGCACUACGGUGCUGAAGCAACAAAUGCCCUGCUUCCAGGAAAAGCCUCUAAGCAUCAGGUAACAUCAAAUCGUACCCCAAACCGACACAGGUGGUCAGGUAGAGAAUACCAAGGCGCUUGAGAGAACUCGGGUGAAGGAACUAGGCAAAAUGGUGCCGUAACUUCGGGAGAAGGCACGCUGAUAUGUAGGUGAAGUCCCUCGCGGAUGGAGCUGAAAUCAGUCGAAGAUACCAGCUGGCUGCAACUGUUUAUUAAAAACACAGCACUGUGCAAACACGAAAGUGGACGUAUACGGUGUGACGCCUGCCCGGUGCCGGAAGGUUAAUUGAUGGGGUUAGCGCAAGCGAAGCUCUUGAUCGAAGCCCCGGUAAACGGCGGCCGUAACUAUAACGGUCCUAAGGUAGCGAAAUUCCUUGUCGGGUAAGUUCCGACCUGCACGAAUGGCGUAAUGAUGGCCAGGCUGUCUCCACCCGAGACUCAGUGAAAUUGAACUCGCUGUGAAGAUGCAGUGUACCCGCGGCAAGACGGAAAGACCCCGUGAACCUUUACUAUAGCUUGACACUGAACAUUGAGCCUUGAUGUGUAGGAUAGGUGGGAGGCUUAGAAGUGUGGACGCCAGUCUGCAUGGAGCCGACCUUGAAAUACCACCCUUUAAUGUUUGAUGUUCUAACGUGGACCCGUAAUCCGGGUUGCGGACAGUGUCUGGUGGGUAGUUUGACUGGGGCGGUCUCCUCCUAAAGAGUAACGGAGGAGCACGAAGGUUGGCUAAUCCUGGUCGGACAUCAGGAGGUUAGUGCAAUGGCAUAAGCCAGCUUGACUGCGAGCGUGACGGCGCGAGCAGGUGCGAAAGCAGGUCAUAGUGAUCCGGUGGUUCUGAAUGGAAGGGCCAUCGCUCAACGGAUAAAAGGUACUCCGGGGAUAACAGGCUGAUACCGCCCAAGAGUUCAUAUCGACGGCGGUGUUUGGCACCUCGAUGUCGGCUCAUCACAUCCUGGGGCUGAAGUAGGUCCCAAGGGUAUGGCUGUUCGCCAUUUAAAGUGGUACGCGAGCUGGGUUUAGAACGUCGUGAGACAGUUCGGUCCCUAUCUGCCGUGGGCGCUGGAGAACUGAGGGGGGCUGCUCCUAGUACGAGAGGACCGGAGUGGACGCAUCACUGGUGUUCGGGUUGUCAUGCCAAUGGCACUGCCCGGUAGCUAAAUGCGGAAGAGAUAAGUGCUGAAAGCAUCUAAGCACGAAACUUGCCCCGAGAUGAGUUCUCCCUGACCCUUUAAGGGUCCUGAAGGAACGUUGAAGACGACGACGUUGAUAGGCCGGGUGUGUAAGCGCAGCGAUGCGUUGAGCUAACCGGUACUAAUGAACCGUGAGGCUUAACCUUACAACGCCGAAG
rnacentral:rRNA from 1 species